UGGAACUCUCUUUUCCCUCUCGAACUCUCCGGAUAUCUUCUUUCUCUCUUUUCUCUCUAGAAGAACUCUCUGUAUCUCCUCUCUCUCUUUUCUCUCUACCAUUUCAGGACAAGAGGACCAUAUCGGCUCAAAAUUUUCUGGUUUCGUCAAUCACUGCCCAAAAUCACCAUUUCAUCUACCUCUAUCUACACUCUACUGCUUUGUCUUUAUCUUAUCAUUGUUUUAUUUGGGCUUAUAUGGGCUUAAUUAAAAGAAAAGCACAUAACCCACGGCCACAUCUCUUCUAUAUCUCUUAUGGUUCACCAAACGAUUUUGCCUAGGAAAGAAAAGCAAGUCUAGCGGGCAAAAGUGGAAAAAAAAAUGUUCUUCUUCUGGCAGACUCUGACAGAGAGAUAAGCUUAGCUGAGUACAUGUGGGUUUCCAUUGCAAUCCGUACAUAUUUGCGAAGAUAAGGCUCAAAGACAGAGGGUUGUAGGUUUGUAGUGGUAGAGGAUUGUGUGGUUUAAAGGAUGGUCGUGGGUUAUGUGCUUUUCUUGGAAGUUGAGAUUGUUGGUGGAGAUUGUCGGUGGGUAUGGAUUUCUUGGAGGUUGAGAGAGAGGAGUAGAAGAUCAGAUAAAACUUUUUGCUGUUCUGUGGUUCGGCAUUCUCAACUAAUCACAAUACAGGUGUCUCUCUCUAAAGUUCUCUUCUCUAUGGCUUGAUUGAUUUUUUUAAGACUAAUUUAUCAUUCUUUUUUAGUUUCGUUCUCUUCUCUAUGGGUUGAUUGAUUUCUUAAAGACUGAUUUAUCAUUCUCUUUUAGUUCCGUUGCUUCAUUUUUUAUUAAAUAUUUGAUGAAGAAAUAUGGAGUCUAUGGGUUGAUUGAUUUUUUUAAGAUUGAUUAUCAUUCUAUUUUAGUUCCGUUAAACAUUUGAUGAAGAAAUAUGGAGUGGUUAUUGAAUAUUUAUUUUUAUACAUGCAUGUUAUUAAUGUCAACUUUGUUUUCUGAUAGUGUUUGCUUUGGAAUUUGGGAUGUAGAGCGACCAAAUUGAGAUGAGUAAAACCAAUCGUAUAUAUUCAUCAUACUUUGUUUUCCUCUUCUUCUAUUAAUCUAGAGCCUACAACAUAUUAAUUCAUUUUUUAACAAUAUUAAAAAAUUAGUUACAUUUGGUAUUUUAUAUCUCUCUUCCGUUUAAUUUUGUUUUCAAUUUGGCGAAUUUUUUUAUUAAAAAAAACACAUAUUUUAUAUUAUUGUUUCAUUUUUUUUUUUAUCUGGUAUGAUAGCUAGCUAAAGGAUCUCAGUCUAAUUGAAGCUCAGCCUGCUAAAUUAGGAAAUCUUGCUCAUUUGUGAAAAAUGUAAGAGAAAUAUGUAUGUUUUGCUUGAUUAUAAAAGUCAUAAACUCAUCAUGUUAUUAUUUUGCUCAAUAGUUCUUAGAGAUUAUUAAUUUUUGGCAGUUGUUAAUAAGUAAUCCAUACAAAUUCCAUUGUUUAAGUCUAUGAAAAUUUUCUAGUCAUAUGAUUUGUGUGUGAUAGUUUUCUAUUGUGUGUAAGUUCUAUAAACAGCUUUCUACAACUGUUAUUGUAUUCUUGGUGUUAAUUGUGUAGUGUAUGAGAUUAGUCUUUGUUAUAACUUAAUUUGGCCAAACUUUGGCUUCGGUGUUUUCUUUCAACUCACACGACAGGUAUUUUCUAUCUCUAAAUUUCUCUAUAGUUUGAUUGAUUUCUAUCUCUCUUUUUCUUUUGUUUAUUAUAUUGAGAUACUAAUUUCACAAAAUUGGUAGUGAGCUUUUAAACAUGUUUGAUGACAGCUUUGACUCAAGGCUGGGAAUUUUGCCAAAACCCAAUUCUCUGAAAUUUCAGUGGGUUUUUCAUUCUCGUUUUAGAUAUCCUUCUUUAAUCUGUGUUGAUAUUUGAAUUUUGCCUGAAGUUUUGUCAUUCAAUUUCACUUCCUUCUAGCUUUGUCAUGGUUCCAUUGCUGAUCUGUGAAGAAAUAGUAGAGUAAUACAAACCAGUGGGUGGUUCUAUUUUUACAUUUAUAGCCCAAAGAUUUUGGUACAUAGUAUGCAAUUCUUGAUUAACCUAGGGAAUCCUCCAAAUCAAAAGCCCCAAACCUUAUGACAACACCCCAGUCCUAUGUAUGUUUCACAAAAUUCCCCAAAGAACACAAAGGAAGAGAUCUUCAUAAAUUUCUCUAAGAUGUCAAUGGCAUACUUCUUCUUUCUCUCCUCAAAUUAUUGUUAUAAGGUGAAUUUCUUUUCCUAUCCUAUAUUUCUUUCUUGUUCAUCUCUUUGUUUAAGAUGUGAAAAAUUUUCUCACUUUUGGUGUUAACACAAUUAAAGGUGCUAUGAAACAACAUGCCUCAAAGAAAAUAUUUGUUAAAAUAGGAGGCUUUGUUCUUCAAGCUAUGGAAAUGGUGGAAAAUUAGUCGAAACUCAAAUGCAAUUGUCACUAGAGAUAGCAUGAUCGACCAUUAUUCACAAUGCACAGAAUCAAGUCUCAUGCUGAGUUGUAUGGGUUCGUGGCCAUGUUUAGGGAGAAAAAUUGUGCCCAAUUAUAUAGCUACACAUAUGAUCACAAGCUAGCUAGACCAAACUAAUGAGCCAUAUUGGAUUGAGAAAUGCUGGUGAAUUUGUUUUGUGGGCUAGUAGGUUCAUCAUACAUUAAUUUUCAAGAUUUUUGGUGAUUUACUAAAUUACAUGUGUCCUGGUGAUUAAUUAAAAUUAUAUCACACCAACUUUGAGAGUUGAAGGAGUUCUUGCUUUCUUGUGCAUUGGGUGAUAGACUCUCGACGUAAUAUGUAGCUGCUGAUCCAAAAUUUUAGGAGGAAAAGAUUGAUGCUUCCCUUGAGGUUCUUAUCUUAUCCUUGCUAAUGACGAAUUAUGAGAUGUUGUCACAUGUGAGGCUGAUGCUUUGGUUAAAACCAAUCUAGGAGCUGGAACAUGUAGCAAAGAGGUUGAUGUA